rnacentral:rRNA from 1 species
CUGGCGGCGGCCUACACAUGCAAGUCGAGCGGAUGAGGGGAGCUUGCUCCCUGAUUUAGCGGCGGACGGGUGAGUAAUGCCUAGGAAUCUGCCUGGUAGUGGGGGAUAACGUUCCGAAAGGAACGCUAAUACCGCAUACGUCCUACGGGAGAAAGCAGGGGACCUUCGGGCCUUGCGCUAUCAGAUGAGCCUAGGUCGGAUUAGCUAGUUGGUGAGGUAAUGGCUCACCAAGGCGACGAUCCGUAACUGGUCUGAGAGGAUGAUCAGUCACACUGGAACUGAGACACGGUCCAGACUCCUACGGGAGGCAGCAGUGGGGAAUAUUGGACAAUGGGCGAAAGCCUGAUCCAGCCAUGCCGCGUGUGUGAAGAAGGUCUUCGGAUUGUAAAGCACUUUAAGGUUGGGAGGAAGGGCAGUAAGCUAAUACCUUGCUGUUUUGACGUUACCGACAGAAUAAGCA